rnacentral:ncRNA from 1 species
AUCAGAGUAGGAAAUAAAGCGUUAAGUGCUAGAGGGAUGGGAUGUUGCCCUUUGGACGAAAGACUUGGUUUGGUCUACGGUUUUAUUUUCGCAUUCGCUGCA